rnacentral:rRNA from 1 species
AUUAAAUUUUAUUAAUUAAAUUAAUUUAUUUUUAUUUAAAUUGUUAAAAAUAAUUAUAUAAAUUAUUGUUUAAGUAUUAUUUAAAGAAUAAAUAAUUUUUAUAAUAGUGUAUUAGUAUUGUAAAAGAAAAUUGAAAUAAUUUGAAAAAAUAUUAUUUAAAAAGAAAAUUUUAUUAAUUGUACCUUUUGUAUCAGGGUUUAUCAAAUAAAUAAUAAAUAUUUAUUUUUCUCGAUUUUAAAAGAGUUAAUUAAUUUUAAAAGUUAAUGUGAUAAAAUUAUUUUUAAAAAUUAAUUAGAAAUGAAAUGUUAUUCGUUUUUAAAGGUAUCUAGUUUUUUAAGAAAUGAAUUUAAUUCAGAAAUUUUAAAUUAUUUAGUUUAUUUUUAAAUUAAAUAAUUUUUUAAUUUUAAUAUUUUAUGGGAUGAGCUAUAAAAUAUUUUUAAUAAAUUUUAAAUAAAUAUUUAAUAAAUGUAAGCUUAGAAUUAGUUAUCAUUAAUAAAUUUGUUAUAAUUUAUUUUAUUUUUUAUAUUAUUUAAUUUAUUUUUAUUUUUUAUUAAAAUAUUAAUUUUAAUUUUUAAAAUUAAGAAAUAAUGAUAAAAUUAGUAUAUAAAUAUUGUAAAAAUAUUUUUUUAUGAGAAGUUUUUAUAAAGAACUCGGCAAAAUAAAAUAUUCGCCUGUUUAACAAAAACAUGUCUUUUUGAAUUUUUUAAAAAGUCUGACCUGCCCAAUGAAUUUUUAAUGGCCGCAGUAUUUUGACUGUGCAAAGGUAGCAUAAUCAUUAGUUUUUUAAUUGAAGGCUGGAAUGAAUGGUUGGACGAGAUAUUAACUGUUUCAUAAAAAUUUAUAAUAAAAUUUUAUUUUUUAGUCAAAAAGCUAAAAUAAAUUUAAAAGACGAGAAGACCCUAUAAAUCUUUAUAUUUUUUAUAUUUAAUUUAUUUAGAUUAAUUUAAUUUUUAUAUUUUAAAAUAUUUUAUUGGGGUGAUAUUAAAAUUUAAAAAACUUUUAAUUUUUUAAAAACAUUAAUUUAUGAAUUUUUGAUCCAUUAAUAAUGAUUAAAAAAUUAAGUUACUUUAGGGAUAACAGCGUAAUUUUUUUGGAGAGUUCAUAUCGAUAAAAAAGAUUGCGACCUCGAUGUUGGAUUAAGAUAUAAUUUUAGGUGUAGAAGUUUAAAAUUUAAGUCUGUUCGACUUUAUAUUCUUACAUGAUCUGAGUUCAAACCGGUGUAAGCCAGGUUGGUUUCUAUCUUUAAAAAAUUAAUAUAUUUUAGUACGAAAGGAUUGAAUAUAUAAAUAAUUAUAUUUUUUGUAAGAAUUUCAUUAAUAUA